rnacentral:rRNA from 1 species
GUUUGUUUGGAGAUAUAAAGAAUUUAACCUGCCCCCUGAUUUAUAACAUUAAAGGGCCGCAGUAUUAUAACUGUGCAAAGGUAGCAUAAUCAUUAGGUUUUUAAUUGAAAUCUUGUAUGAAUGGUUGGACGAAAGAAAAGCUCUCUUUAAAUUAAUUUUGAAUUUAACUUUUAAGUGAAAAGGCUUAAAUAUUCUAAAGGGACGAUAAGACCCUAUAAAACUUUAUAUUAUAAUUAUAUUUAAUUAAAUUUAUAAAAUAAAAAUUUAAUUUAAUUAUUUAUUGUGUUGGGGAGACAUAAGUAUAAUAAUAUUUAACUGCUUACAAAAUACACAGUUAUAAUUGAUGAGUUAAAGAUCCUUUUUAAAGAUUUUAAGAUUAAGUUACUUUAGGGAUAACAGCGUAAUUUCUUUUAAGAGUUCUUAUCGAAAAAGUAGGUUGCGACCUCGAUGUUGAAUUAAAAUAUCUAUAUGAUGCAGAAGUUGUAUAAGAAGGUCUGUUCGACCUUUAAAUUUUUACAUGAUUUGAGUUCAAACCGGUGUGAG